rnacentral:rRNA from 1 species
UACGGAGGGGGCUAGCGUUGUUCGGAAUUACUGGGCGUAAAGCGCACGUAGGCGGCUUUGUAAGUUAGAGGUGAAAGCCUAGGGCUUAACCCUGGAAUUGCCUUUAAGACUGCAUCGCUAGAAUCGUGGAGAGGUGAGUGGAAUUCCGAGUGUAGAGGUGAAAUUCGUAGAUAUUCGGAAGAACACCAGUGGCGAAGGCGACUCACUGGACACGUAUUGACGCUGAGGUGCGAAAGCGUGGGGAGCAAACAGG